rfam:Camelus ferus unplaced genomic scaffold scaffold1603, whole genome shotgun sequence.
AGGGGUAUAGCUCAGUGGUAGAGCAUGUGAUCAGCAUGCACAAGGUUGUGUGUUCAAUCCCCAGUACCUCCA